rnacentral:lncRNA from 1 species
GUUUUUUUAUUCAAUCGACGUUAGAGUAACAGAGCAAGUUUCAGUUGAUUCUAGGAAUAGCAAAUGAAGCAUGAAUUCGCACUUGAUGCGGCAAAAGAGUAGAUUCAUAUUCUGUUUGAAACCGCAUUAGCACAAGUGCGCUUGGUUAUAGAUCUUAUGGUUUCUUCCUUUGAAAUGCAGUCAACAAACAACUAAACGACAAAGAGCGAGUGGCGGCUGCACUAGAGAAUCCAAACCUUGUAGAGAUGGUCGAUGAGUGUCUAUCUCCAUCAUUUGAAUGAUGCCUUGAUGCUCUCAAGAUACACUAUCAAUAUAUGUCUCUGCUUUGUCUGCGAAUAUUUUGAUCAGCUACAACUUACUUUGUGUUUAGUGAAAGACUGAGAAUAUUAUCCACGGAAUUAGGUAUUUGAUUUGAUCCUCUACAUCUCAGAAAGGAUUAUUUCAGAUACUCGACGUCUCUUUGAUUGUUCCAUUUGUUUCUCUGUAUAAUCACAGCUCAACUUGUUGCACACUUGUUCUUUCACGCAUUUGUUCCGUUUGUUGCUUGUGUAAUGUUAUAACUCGAAUUUGUCAGAUUCAGAUCAAUUAGGUUAAAUCAAUCAUAUUGAUUGAUGCCAUCUUAACCGAACCAAGGUUUGAGGAUUUUGGUUCUGGUUCGGUUCAUUGUGUUGAAUUGAUUGUCAAACUUAUGCGUAGCCUUCCUUCUCGUUACAAGGUACAUGCUUCUCCUUAUUUUUGAGUGUUUUGGAGAUGAUCUUUUGAUCACAUUUUAUCACUUAUGCAUUUACUGAGAAUGGUUUCAACAUCUGUUAUUGAGGCAAUGAACCUUUGCGAUUGUUCUGAUGAUUGCUAAGAGAAUAUAGCUUGAACCUCUGGUAUAUGCUAUGGGUAGAGUGCCUUAUAAAUUCACACACAAUGGUCAAUGUUUUAUGUGCCUCAAUCCUUUGAAACUAUUCUUUUUUUAUUUUCCAGAUAGAUAUAAGGGUAGCACCCGGUACUCAUGCUACUGAGGCUGCAGGUAUGUAAUUUUUUCUAUAUCCUUUGUCUGCGUCUUUGUUUUUUUAUUCAAUCGACGUUAGAGUAACAGAGCAAGUUUCAGUUGAUUCUAGGAAUAGCAAAUGAAGCAUGAAUUCGCACUUGAUGCGGCAAAAGAGUAGAUUCAUAUUCUGUUUGAAACCGCAUUAGCACAAGUGCGCUUGGUUAUAGAUCUUAUGGUUUCUUCCUUUGAAAUGCAGUCAACAAACAACUAAACGACAAAGAGCGAGUGGCGGCUGCACUAGAGAAUCCAAACCUUGUAGAGAUGGUCGAUGAGUGUCUAUCUCCAUCAUUUGAAUGAUGCCUUGAUGCUCUCAAGAUACACUAUCAAUAUAUGUCUCUGCUUUGUCUGCGAAUAUUUUGAUCAGCUACAACUUACUU